rnacentral:rRNA from 1 species
GAUGAACGCUAGCGGCAGGCUUAAUACAUGCAAGUCGUGGGGCAGCAUGAGUGUAGCAAUACAUUUGAUGGCGACCGGCAAACGGGUGCGGAACACGUACACAACCUUCCUUCAAGUGGGGAAUAGCCCAGGGAAACUUGGAUUAAUACCCCGUAAUAUUAUGGAGUGGCAUCACUUUAUAAUUAUAGCUCCGGCGCUUGAUGAUGGGUGGUGCGCCUGANAGGUUAGGUUGGCGGGGUAACGGGCCCACCCAAGCCUUCGAUCAGUAACUGGUGUGAGAGCACGACCAGUCACACGGG